rnacentral:rRNA from 1 species
AGUGAACGCUGGCGGUAGGCCUAACACAUGCAAGUCGAACGGCAGCACAGUAAGAGCUUGCUCUUACGGGUGGCGAGUGGCGGACGGGUGAGGAAUACAUCGGCAUCUACUUUUUCGUGGGGGAUAACGUAGGGAAACUUACGCUAAUACCGCAUACGACCUACGGGUGAAAGCAGUGGAUCUUCGGACCUUGCGCGAUUCAAUGAGCCGAUGUCGGAUUAGCUAGUUGGCGGGGUAAAGGCCCACCAAGGCGACGAUGCGUAGCUGGUCUGAGAGGAUGAUCAGCCACACUGGAACUGAGACACGGUCCAGACUCCUACGGGAGGCAGCAGUGGGGAAUAUUGGACAAUGGGCGCAAGCCUGAUCCAGCCAUGCCGCGUGGGUGAAGAAGGUCUUCGGGUUGUAAAGCCCUUUUGUUGGGAAAGAAAAGCAGCAGGUUAAUAUCCCGCUGUUCUGACGGUACCCAAAGAGUAAGCCCCGGCUAACUUCGUG